AACCAGUCGGAAUGAACUGCACGCGACAUCGCGGGAAACCGGGAUUUACAACCGUGGCAGAAGGAGGGCACCUUUACACGACUUCUGUAAAAAAUGUAAACCAUAUAAAAAUACGAAUACGAUAGGAUGGAUAAGAUAGCAGUUUGCUAUCGUGUAUUUGGUUUCAUCUAAGAAUUUGUAGAAAUACAACAUUUUACAGAUGCAUAAGUAUAUUUUCUAUUGAAUGCUACGAUACAAACAAUUGUGAUGAAUAUAAAUGUAUUAAGAAAUAGACGAGUUUUCAUGUAUUUUUCAUGUAUGUAUUUCCUAAACAUAUAUUUACCUAUAUGGUAACUUAACAUCCAGUAAUAGUAUAUUGUAAUUUAUGUAAGUUAUCAAUUAUUUAGUAUAUCGAUAUUCCAUCCUCAAGAUCAGUAAUUAAAAAUUAUCCAAAAA